GCUUCUAUGGGCACUAUCUGGAAAAAUCCAACGGUUUUGUCUUAGUUUCGUCUUUCUGAAUCCAACGAGACCAUCCACAAGGUCGUAGGUCUCAUAUUAGCUGAGAUCUCGCAUUUUUGAUGCCCAUUUUUGGGCUCAAAAACGAGGUCAGAAAGUGACAAUUUUCGAAUUUUCAAAGUGCUCUCAUUCCCUUAUUUCUGAUCGAAUCCUGUUAUAACCCGGUAUUUUUGUAAUCUAGGUGAUGUAAACAAGUCGAUGGUAUAGUUAGUUCGAAUUCGAAAAAAUUCAAUUUUUGGUGAAAAAUUCGAUACGGGGGGGUAUACCCGAAAAAUGAAAAAUCCUAAACUUUAGAGGUCGAUAUCUCGGCUUCUAUGGGCACUAUCUGGAAAAAUCAAACGGUUUUGUCUUAGUUUCAUUUUUCUGAAUCCAACGAGACCAUCCACAAGGUCGUAGGUCUCAUAUUAGCUGAGAUCUCGCAUUUUUGAUGCCCAUUUUUAGGCUCAAAAACGAGGUCAGAAAGUGACAAUUUUCGAAUUUUCAAAGUGCUCUCAUUCCCUUAUUUCUGAUCGAAUCCUGUUAUAACCCGGUAUUUUUGUAAUCUAGGUGAUGUAAACAAGUCGAUGGUAUAGUUAGUUCGAAUUCGAAAAAAUUCAAUUUUUGGUGAAAAAUUCGAUACGGGGGGGUAUACCCGAAAAAUGAAAAAUCCUAAACUUUAGAGGUCGAUAUCUCGGCUUCUAUGGGCUCUAUCUGGAAAAAUCCAACGGUUUUGUCUUAGUUUCGUCUUUCUGAAUCCAACGAGACCAUCCACAAGGUCGUAGGUCUCAUAUUAGCUGAGAUCUCGCAUUUUUGAUGCCCAUUUUUGGGCUUAAAAAUGAGGUCAGAAAGUGACAAUUUUCGAAUUUUCAAAGUGCUCUCAUUCCCUUAUUUCUGAUCGAAUCCUGUUAUAACCCGGUAUUUUUGUAAUCUAGGUGAUGUAAACAAGUCGAUGGUAUAGUUAGUUCGAAUUCGAAAAAAUUCAAUUUUUGGUGAAAAAUUCGAUACGGGGGGGUAUACCCGAAAAAUGAAAAAUCCUAAACUUUAGAGGUCGAUAUCUCGGCUUCUAUGGGCUCUAUCUGGAAAAAUCCAACGGUUUUGUCUUAGUUUCGUCUUUCUGAAUCCAACGAGACCAUCCACAAGGUCGUAGGUCUCAUAUUAGCUGAGAUCUCGCAUUUUUGAUGCCCAUUUUUGGGCUUAAAAAUGAGGUCAGAAAGUGACAAUUUUCGAAUUUUCAAAGUGCUCUCAUUCCCUUAUUUCUGAUCGAAUCCUGUUAUAACCCGGUAUUUUCGUAAUCUAGGUGACACGAUGAAGACGUUGGUAUAGUUAGUUCGAAUUCGAAAAAAUUCAAUUUUUGGUGAAAAAUUCGAUACGGGGGGGUAUACCCAUUUUUGGGCUCAAAAACGAGGUCAGAAAGUGACAAUUUUCGAAUUUUCAAAGUGCUCUCAUUCCCUUAUUUCUGAUCGAAUCCUGUUAUAACCCGGUGUUUUCGUAAUCUAGGUGAUGUAAACAAGUCGAUGGUAUAGUUAGUUCGAAUUCGAAAAAAUUCAAUUUUUGCUGAAAAAUUCGAUACGGGGGGGUAUACCCGAAAAAUGAAAAAUCCCAAACUUUAGAGGUCGAUAUCUCGGCUUCUAUGGGCACUAUCUGGAAAAAUCCAACGGUUUUGUCUUAGUUUCGUCUUUCUGAAUCCAACGAGACCAUCCACAAGGUCGUAGGUCUCAUAUUAGCUGAGAUCUCGCAUUUUUGAUGCCCAUUUUUGGGCUUAAAAAUGAGGUCAGAAAGUGACAAUUUUCGAAUUUUCAAAGUGCUCUCAUUCCCUUAUUUCUGAUCGAAUCCUGUUAUAACCCGGUAUUUUCGUAAUCUAGGUGACACGAUGAAGACGUUGGUAUAGUUAGUUCGAAUUCGAAAAAAUUCAAUUUUUGGUGAAAAAUUCGAUACGGGGGGGUAUACCCGAAAAAUGAAAAAUCCCAAACUUUGGAGGUCGAUAUCUCGGCUUCUAUGGGCACUAUCUGGAAAAAUCCAACGGUUUUGUCUUAGUUUCGUCUUUCUGAAUCCAACGAGACCAUCCACAAGGUCGUAGGUCUCAUAUUAGCUGAGAUCUUGCAUUUUUGAUGCCCAUUUUUAGGCUCAAAAACGAGGUCAGAAAGUGACAAUUUUCGAAUUUUCAAAGUGCUCUCAUUCCCUUAUUUCUGAUCGAAUCCUGUUAUAACCCGGUAUUUUUGUAAUCUAGGUGAUGUAAACAAGUCGAUGGUAUAGUUAGUUCGAAUUCGAAAAAAUUCAAUUUUUGGUGAAAAAUUCG